AUUGAACGCUGGCGGCAGGCCUAACACAUGCAAGUCGAACGGUAACAGGAAGCAGCUUGCUGCUUUGCUGACGCGUGUCGGACGGGUGAGUAAUGUCUGUGAAACUGCCCGAUGGCGGGGGAUAACUACUGGAAACGGUAGCUAAUACCGCAUAACGUCGCAAGACCAAAGAGGGGGACCUUAUGGCCUCUUGCCAUCGGAUGUGCCCCGAUGGGAUUAGCUAGUAGGUGGGGUAACGGCUCACCUAGGCGACGAUCCCUAGCUGGUCUGAGAGGAUGACCAGCCACACUGGAACUGAGACACGGUCCAGACUCCUAAGGGAGGCAGCAGUGGGGAAUAUUGCACAAUGGGCGCAAGCCUGAUGCAGCCAUGCCGCGUGUAUGAAGAAGGCCUUCGGGUUGUAAAGUACUUUCAGCGGGGAGGAAGAGAGGAAAGUUAAUACCUUUGCUAAUUGACGUUACCCGAAGAAGAAGCACCGGCUAACUUCGUG
rnacentral:rRNA from 1 species